rnacentral:rRNA from 1 species
UACGAAGGGGGCUAGCGUUGCUCGGAAUCACUGGGCGUAAAGGGCGCGUAGGCGGGAUGGCAAGUCGGUCGUGAAAUCCUUCGGCUCAACCGAAGAACGUCGGCCGAUACUGCCGUUCUUGAGGGAUGCAGAGGAGAUUGGAAUUCCCGGUGUAGCAGUGAAAUGUGUAGAGAUCGGGAGGAACACCGGUGGUGUAGACGGCUUUCUGGACAAUCACUGACGCUGAGGUACGAAAGCGUGGGUAGCAAACAGG